CUACGGGCGGCUGCAGUGGGGAAUAUUGGACAAUGGGCGAAAGCCUGAUCCAGCCAUGCCGCGUGUGUGAAGAAGGCCUUCGGGUUGUAAAGCACUUUCAGUGGGGAAGAAAGCCUUGGGGCUAAUACCCUCGAGGAAGGACAUCACCCACAGAAGAAGCACCGGCUAACUCCGUGCCAGCAGCCGCGGUAAUACGGAGGGUGCGAGCGUUAAUCGGAAUUACUGGGCGUAAAGCGCGCGUAGGCGGUCUGAUAAGCCGGUUGUGAAAGCCCCGGGCUCAACCUGGGAACGGCAUCCGGAACUGUCAGGCUAGAGUGCAGGAGAGGAAGGUAGAAUUCCCGGUGUAGCGGUGAAAUGCGUAGAGAUCGGGAGGAAUACCAGUGGCGAAGGCGGCCUUCUGGACUGACACUGACGUUGAGGUGCGAAAGCGUGGGUAGCAAACAGGAUUAGAUACCCUUGUAGUC
rnacentral:rRNA from 1 species